GAGACUGCCUUCUGCACUAUCUCUAUUCUCUUACAUUCCAUCCCCCCUCAGAGUUGUCCAGGUUUGUUCACUGACAGUUCUCCUGUUCAUAAACAUCUUCUGGCGAUGACUGGAUCACUUAGAGCUGCUGCUGAAUUGGUGUCAUGACAGGAGUUGUUGCACUCAUUGUGAUGAGCUUUAAACUUCAGCUGCCAACAUGCCAUGAUCAAAGAAUUCAUUGGAUCUGCUUUGGCCAGGACACAGCUUUUUCCAGCUGGCCAAGGAAACCGAACAAUCCUCAGCAGAAUCCAAUUGCCCAAUCACUUCAGGAAAAAGACCUGAGAGAGCCCAGCCAGCAGGGGCCCCACAAAGCUUCUGUACCAACAGGCUUCAUUACACUGGGGGAAACCAAGGAGAAUCCACCUCAGCAAACAGACUGGUCCUGGCUCCCUGAUCCAAAGUAAGCAUCAGCAACCUGGAAUGGCUGGGUUUGGUUUGUUUGUGUGUUUUUCAUACAAUAGCAUCCUGAAAUGGCUACGUACAAUUGAGAACCCCAUCAAUAUUACAUCUGCAACAGAAGGUGAAAACCUCCUGGUGUGCACAAGGAAUCCAUUUAGUCCUUCAGACAAGAUCUCCAGUGCCAGGCAGAACACCUGGUCUCUUGGUCCAUCUUUGAGGUGCUCUGGUGGAAACCCAGAGGCAGCCAAAAGCUCCCUGUGACCCCAUAUCCACACAGGAGCUCCUGUGAGCCACACUGGGGUGGUGCUGACAGCAAUUCACUGAGGGCUUCGUGACCUGAUUUUAAACAGCUGCAAUGAAUUGCUUUUGCCUUGAAUUUUAAACCAUUUAUUCUGGGAGGGCAGAACACUUCUAUGAUGCAGCAUCACGCUGAAUGCAGGACGAGCAGAUGACAGGAUACCUGGUGUUUUUUUGGGACAUGGCCCCUGAGUCCUUGGGGAUGCAGGCUGCAUCUGUGAGCAAUUCCUGGGCUGUGCUUUUUGGGCUUUGCAGCCCUGCUGCUGUGGGGAUGGACCUGGGGUGAUGUUUUGCAGCACAGUGGCAGCACCAGAACUGCUUCAAAAUAAAGGCGCCAGCUACAAUUAUGACAAAUGUACCCUCCCAAGUGGAGCCUCAGGGCUGGGAAGGGCACUCAGCUCAUCUCAGGCACUUACCAGUCAGGUAUGUAAGACAGAAAGUAUUUACCUCAGGGGAAAAUCACAGCAUUUUCACCUGAUUAUAUGGAUUUUACUUGCCAGUCAAGGCUCUUAUAGCUGAGAGAGGUGUGAGACUGCUAUCUAAAACAGCUUGGACAUCCAAACAAAUGUUCUUCCCAGCUUGCAGAAAUGUUAGUAGUUGUCCUGUCGAUUGGAGGCUUUUUGGAGAAACAAUGUCACCACUUGUAUUUUGACUUUUGCCAGAGAAGGGAGCAGCCUGCCCAUCAGUCUUUUCGUGCCUCAAGAGACCUCUCCAUGACUGAGUGAUAAGAGAAAGCAAAUUGUACAUGUUAACAGAGCUCUUAAUAUUGCAGUGGAUGGAUGCCGCGUUGUGCCAUGUACCCAGCUGGAUGGAGCAUGGUGCCUUUCCAUGUACACUUGUCCAUUGAGGAAUUGUGCAGCUCACAGAUCACUGUUUGAUUUCUCUGCCUCCUGCUGCCCACAAUCUGCCUCCUGCACACCUGUUGGAUGGCAUUACACCCUCAGCAGCCAGGAGUGGGUGUCAGUGGGUCAGUGGGCUGUGCUGGCUCUGUGCUCACCCCUGAGUACAGCCUGCAGCAGUGAGGGGUAAAUGAUUAACCUGCAUCUGUUCUGCUUUUUGCACGGAGACUCUGGGCUUGCCUUCAUUCCACAGCCACUGAAUAGGGAAGCUGCCAUUGAAGCCAGCCAGCUCUCCUUAGGUCUACAUCCUGAAAAUCAGUGUCAGCACAGCUGAACCCUAAAACAACAAGAUUUCUGCUUUAAUGCUGAUGUGACAAAUGCUAACAGCCAUAACCACGUGGGAGGACAUGAAUUUGUGCUCUCUUUUUGAUGCAAUCACUUGUAAUUAUGUUGACUAAACUUUUAAUUUAGUAUAUAUUUUUUAAAAAGGCCACGUCAUGAAGUGGUUUUGCCUUGUCCACACAAGCUAACAAAUCAAAUUGUUUCCUCUUUUCUUGUAGAAGGAGGGAAUUCCAUAAGACUGUCUCUGUCCUGUGCCUUGCACUGAGUCUCUUUCGCCUAUUUUUGUCACAUUCUUGACCAAAUACUGGGUUUGAUUUUGACCCAGAUCUGUAUAAAUUACUGUAGCAAUAGGGUUGGAAUUCAUGCACAAAUGUACUGAGCAAAGGACAAACCUAUGGUCACAAAAUGGGCUGUGAUGAAACCAGGGAAACAAAUGACCCUGACAAGGACAAUGCACAAGAAAAUGGUGAUAAUGUUUUAUGGCACAGAGCGGAGCUGGGCUUUUUGCCCUCCCAGCUUCAGCACAUAAACUCUCACAUGCUCCAUUGCUAAAGCACCUGUUGCCCUGAUGGCUUGGGGAUGGCAGAACCUUUGCCCAUGUGCAGUAAUGCCAGCAUGCUGGCUCGUGCUUUGGGAAUGGCUGGACUCUCAAAAAAAAGAGGAAGUGUUAAUUUGGAGUGGCAAUUUGGCUCCUCUAACCCCCAUUCUGUGUUGUCAGACAAGGCAGCAGAUAACAAAAUGGGCACUUUUCUGCCAGAGACACACAGAUCCAAAAUCACUGAGCUUCUUCAUGUUUGUGAGUGAUUAAUGUAAAAAUUAAUGAGGGUUUAAUGUAAGUAAGGAAUGGAAAUGACUUAGCCCCAAGAUCAUGAAGUUUCUGCAGAGCAGAAUUGCUGAAUGACUUAGCAGAGGACUAAAUAAUGGACCUAAUCCCAUGCACAGCUGUGAAAGCACUUCUCUCUGUUUAUUUAAAAUGAAAACUCACAUAAAUGUGUGUGCAGAUCACUGCUGUGCAAACUUUUUCCCCUCCCAUGUAGAACUUUUGUGUUCUCUCAUGAGAAACCAUCACUGAAGGGCAGUCCUGGCUGAGCCAGGUACCCCAAGGUGGCCAAAACCCCAGGCUGGGCACUCACACCAGCUGAGGAUCCUGGCAGGAGCAGCUGGCAUGCACUGGGAGGGCACAGCCAAACGAGUUUUGCUGGCUGCUGCUGCUCUGGAGGGUUUCAGUUGUGUAAUCUCCAAUGCUUUGGGGUCAGCCUGUGCAGAUUCUCCAGCUGCCACGACAGGGUUGCUUUGCCUCCCUUCCCCAUGAGCCAGCAGUGGGGAGCAGAGCAGCUCCCCAGACAAAGCCCCUGGCUACAAGCAGAGUAUUGUGCCUCAGCUUUGGCAGAGUGGGCUGGGGCUGCAGUGAAGGCUGCCUCUUCCAUGUGUGAAUGGUGCUGAGAGCUGCUGGGCUGUGCAGCAUGCCCUGGAUGACGAAUUGUCGGAGCAGGCUGAGAGCAGCAGCCCCAGCCUGAGCACAGCCAGUGCUGCAGCCGAGCCCUCGGGGUGUCAAGGCAAAGGGGAGCCUGCCCCAUGCUAAUUAAAACUCUUCUCUCAACUUCUCCUUGGCAAAGUGCAAAGAAAUCCUCUUUUCAUGCCCAGCGAC